GAAAAUUCAAUUAAAAGUAAAUUUCGUAAAACCCUAAUUUGUUCUUCAGCUCUAGUAUGAUGUCUGGGUUUGAAGAUUCAAUAUGAACAGGAUUUAUUAUAAGACCAAUUAUCAUCCUCACUUGGACUUCUCAACAUUUUCAGGUACAAAUACCCUGAAAAUUUUGUACCAGUUCACUAAGGUGUGAUAAACAAAAGGGUUCAUAUAAGAUGC